rnacentral:rRNA from 1 species
AUUGAACGCUGGCGGCAGGCCUAACACAUGCAAGUCGAGCGGAGCGGCGGACGGGUGAGUAAUUCCUGCGAAUCUGCAUGGUCGUGGGGGAUAACGUCCGGAAACGGGCGCUCAUACCGCAUACUAUCAGAUGAGCCGAGGUCGGAUUAGCUAGUUGGUGGGUUAAAGGCCUACCAAGGCGACGAUCCGUAACUGGUCUGAGAGGAUGAUCAGUCACACUGGAACUGAGACACGGGCCAGACGCCUAAGGGAGGCAGCAGUGGGGAAUAUUGGACAAUGGGCGAAAGCCUGAUCCAGCCAUGCCGCGUGUGUGAAGAAGGUCUGCGGAUUGUAAAGCACUUUAAGUUGGGAGGCGUUACCAACAGAAUAAGCACCGGAUAACUACGUGCCAGCAGCCGCGGUAAUAC